GAUGAAGAACGCAGCGAAAUGCGAUAAGUAGUGUGAAUUGCAGAAUUCAGUGAAUCAUCGAAUCUUUGAACGCACAUUGCGCCCGCCAGUAUUCUGGCGGGCAUGCCUGUCUGAGCGUCAUUUCAACCCUCACGCCCCUAGGGCGUGGUGUUGGGGAUCGGCCAGCGCCCUCGCGGGCGAGGCCGUCCCCUAAAUCUAGUGGCGGACCCGUCGUGGCCUCCCCUGCGAAGUAGUGAUAUUCCGCAUAGGAGAGCGACGAGCCCCUGCCGUUAAACCCCCAACUUUCUCAGGUUGACCUCAGAUCAGGUAGGAAUACCCGCUGAACUUAAGCAUAUCAAUAAGCGGAGGA
rnacentral:misc_RNA from 1 species